rnacentral:tRNA from 1 species
CUAAGGAUGGUUCUUCAGAAGCUUGCUUCUAUCGAACCGUUUUAGAAACAUCAGUGGCCAACAGAUCGCCAGAUCGUUGAGCUGCAUUGGCGGGAUUUCGCCGUCUACGUUUCUCUUUCUUCGCGGACGAACACGCGCUGGGGCUGCUAGCUUGCAGAAUCCCUGGUCCUUAACAGGAUAUGCGUUAGGGGCUUGUAGCUCAGUUGGUUAGAGCGCGCGCUUGAUAAGCGUGAGGUCGGAAGUUCAAGUCUUCCCAGGCCCACCACUUUCAUCGAGUGAGCAUUCGUCUUCUGGUUACGGGGCCAUAGCUCAGCUGGGAGAGCGCGUGCUUUGCAAGCAUGAGGUCGUCGGUUCGAUCCCGUCUGGCUCCACCAGAUGGUUUGAUCACCGAGAUCUUGUACCGUCGUCCGCGAAACAUCACUUCGCACUUACUAGUCUGGAUAGACAGUAAGCUGCGUGAUUUCUGACAUCGUAAAGAGGAGAUCGAUCCGAGUUGGAUCGUGCGGCAAGCAAUUGCCACGCGAGACUUCAUUAUCUCCGGAUCAUUUCGGCGCUCGUGCGUCUUUCGAAGGUAGCUCACAAGGCUGCGUUCGAGCGACAAGCGAGUUGUAAAUGAUCCUUUUAGCGAAGCUUGACCGCCUCGCUAUCGGAACGAUCUUACGAAGCAAGCUGGUCUUUCUAGUCAAUGUCCGGCUGCAGAUAGCGUUCAUCGAGGGCGCGUGCCGCAAGGCAAUUCUGCAGACAACAUUCUGCCGAGUGUGUGGACAUUGAUAAUGAGAGC